rnacentral:lncRNA from 1 species
UUAAACAUUUUCAAAUCACUAAUUCACUUCUCAAGUGACCACACUUUACUAAAAUCAAAACGCAACCUAAAUUCAAAUUAAAAAUCAAUAAUUCAUAAUUCAAGUAAUUACACUUAAACAUUUUAAGUCACUAACUCACUUCACAAGUUACCUAACUAAACUAAAUUAAAAAUAAAAAAUUCAUAUUUCAAGUACCUACACUUAAACAUUUACAAGUUACCAAACUAAACUUUAUUCAAAAUGAAAAGUUCACCUUUCAAGUACCUACACUAAAAUACUUUUAAGUCACUAAUUCACUUCUCAAGUAACCACACAUUACUAAAAUCAAAAUACAAGUUCAUAUUUCAAGUACCUAAAUUCAAAACAAAAGUCACUAAUUCAUAAUUCAAGUAACUACACUUAAAUAUUUCAAGUCACUAAUUUACUUCACAAGUUACCAAACUAAACUAAAAUCAAAAUGAAAAGUUCACAUUUCAAGUACUACACUUAAACAUUUCAAGUCACUAAUUCACUUCACAAAGUUAGCGAACUAAACUAAAUUCAAAAUAAAAAUUUCACAUUUCAAGUACCUACACCUAAACAUUUUCAAGUUACUAAGUCACUUAACAAGUUACCAAACUAAAGUAAAUUCAAAAUGAAAAGUUCACCUUUCAAGUACCUACACCUAAACAUUUUCACGUCACUAAGUCACUUCACCAGUCCACCUUCCAAGUAACUACACUUAAACAUUUUCGACUCACUAAUGCACUUCUCAAGUGACCACACUUAACUAAAAUUCAAAACAUAAGUUCACAUUUCAAGUACCUACACUUAAAACAUUUUCAAAUCACUUAUUCACUUCUCAAGUGACCACACUUAACUAAAUUCAAAUCACCAAAGUUCACAUUUCAAGUACCUACACUUAAAUAUUUUCAAGUCACUAAUUCACUUAACACGUUACCAAACUAAACUUAAUUCAUAAUGAAAAGUUCAAGUUUUAAGUACCUACACUUAAACAUGUUCAAGUCACUAAUUUACUUCUCAAGUGACCACACUUUACUAAAAUCAAAACGCAACUUAAAUUCAAAAUAAAAGUCACUAAUUCAUAAUUCAAGUAACUACACUUAAACAUUUCAAGUCACUAACUCACUUCACAAGUUACCUAACUAAACUAAAUUCAAAAUGAAAAUUUUACAUUUCAAGUACCUACACCUAAACAUUUACA